GGAAUUUACAGUAAAGGCUUUUAUCCUCACUGCAUUUUGCACUUUUCCUAAUCCAGGAGCCAGAAGUUAUGGCCUUUGUGACCUUUGUAUGAUUUUUAUUUUAGUUUCUUUUUUUUAUAUUGAAGAGUUUAGUAUGACGUCCAUUAUCACUCAACUAGUAUACAUUUUUGUUUAAUGGCAAGCUAAAGCAUGCCUCACAGGCACGGAUCCAGGGGGGGGGGGGGCUGAGGGUUGGACAUGUUGGAACCCCCUUUCUUUAUUGGACGAUCAAUGCAUUUGAAUGGGGACAUGUAGUUGGACCCCCCCCCCCAAAAAAAAAAAAAUUGUCCUGGGUUGAGGAACCCCUCCUUUAUAUGACUAGAUCCACCCCAGUCUCAGGUUCCGGGAUUUUCUCGUUGCAAUGAAGACCCAUUGGUGACCUAUGGCUGUUAUCUGCUCUUUGGUCAUGUUGUUAUCUCUUUGAUACAUUCCCCAUUUCCAUUUCCAUUUUCUUUUCGGUUCUAUUAUAAAUAUUAGAAACGAGUUUGGCGCCUUUACAAAAAUAUAAUUGUCUGUGCUGAUAGGG
rnacentral:lncRNA from 1 species